GAUGAACGCUGGCGGCGUGCCUAAUACAUGCAAGUCGAGCGAACAGACGAGGAGCUUGCUCCUCUGACGUUAGCGGCGGACGGGUGAGUAACACGUGGAUAACCUCCCUAUAAGACUGGGAUAACUUCGGGAAACCGGAGCUAAUACCGGAUAAUAUAUUGAACCGCAUGGUUCAAUAGUGAAAGACGGUUUUGCUGUCACUUAUAGAUGGAUCCGCGCCGCAUUAGCUAGUUGGUAAGGUAACGGCUUACCAAGGCAACGAUGCGUAGCCGACCUGAAAGGGUGAUCGGCCAGACUGGAACUGAGACACGGCCCAGACUCCUACGGGAGGCAGCAGUAGGGAAUCUUACGCAAUGGACGAAAGCCUGACGGAGCAACGCCGCGUGAGUGAUGAAGGUCUUCGGAUCGGAAAGCUCUGUUAUUAGGGAAGAACAAAUGUGUAAGUAACUAUGCACGUCUUGACGGUACCUAAUCAGAAAGCCACGGCUAACUACGUG
rnacentral:rRNA from 1 species